UGUGAUCUAAAGUGUCACAUUCCUUCCUAGCCACCAAUUUACUGCGUCCAGGUGGGAAUGUGACACAAUUUUGGUCACA
rnacentral:pre_miRNA from 1 species